AAGUCGUAACAAGGUUUCCGUAGGUGAACCUGCGGAAGGAUCAUUACUGAGAUAGGGUCUUUGGCCCGACCUCCAACCCUUGCUAAAAAAAUUCUGUUGCUUUGGCGGACCUGUUUUUGACUGCUGGAGUAAUCUGGCUCGUGUCCGCCAGUAGCCUAUUCAAAUUCGUCAACCUUGAUGUCUAAAUACAAAUAUAAUAAAUAAAA
rnacentral:misc_RNA from 1 species